rnacentral:rRNA from 1 species
AACGGCCGCGGUAUCCUAACCGUGCGAAGGUAGCGUAAUCACUUGUUCUUUAAAUGAGGACUAGUAUGAAUGGCACCACGAGGGUUAAACUGUCUCCUUUUUUUAAUCAGUGAAACUAAUCUCCCCGUGAAGAAGCGGGGAUUCUUUUAUAAGACGAGAAGACCCUAUGGAGCUUUAAAUAAGUUAACACCUGCUACUAAUCUUCACUUUCCUGAACCACCACAUUAAGUAUAGCACCUCUGAUUAACAGUUUUCGAUUGGGGUGAUCAUGGAGCAAAAAUCAACCUCCACGACGAAAAGGAACACCUCCUUGAGCCAAAAGCUACAACUUUAAGCACUAAAAAACUAACGCACUUUGACCCAAUUCUUUGAGCAACGAACCAAGUUACCCUAGGGAUAACAGCGCAAUCCACUUUAAGAGCUCCUAUCGACAAGUGGGUUUACGACCUCGAUGUUGGAUCAGGGUAUCCCAGUGGUG